rnacentral:rRNA from 1 species
GGGCCUGCACAAGCGGUGGAGCAUGUGGUUUAAUUCGAUGCAACGCGAAGAACCUUACCAGGGUUUGACAUCCUGCGAAUCUCUUGGAAACGAGAGAGUGCCUUCGGGAACGCAGUGACAGGUGGUGCAUGGCUGUCGUCAGCUCGUGUCGUGAGAUGUUGGGUUAAGUCCCGCAACGAGCGCAACCCACGUCUUUAGUUGCCAGCGGGUAAUGCCGGGGACUCUAGAGAGACUGCCGGUGUCAAACCGGAGGAAGGUGGGGAUGACGUCAAGUCCUCAUGGCCCUUACAUCCUGGGCUACACACGUACUACAAUGCUACGGACAAAGGGCUGCAAGUUCGCGAGGACAAGCAAAUCCCAUAAACCGUGGCUCAGUUCAGAUCGUAGGCUGCAACUCGCCUACGUGAAGGAGGAAUCGCUAGUAAUCGCAGGUC